UGGGUUAGUGCCCGAGCGGUUAAUGGGGAUGGACUGUAAAUCCAUUGGUUUCUGCCUUCGCUGGUUCAAAUCCAGCCUAACCCAA
rnacentral:tRNA from 1 species